rnacentral:rRNA from 1 species
CUUUUCUUGUUAGUUUUUGAAGUAUGGCCUGCCCGCUGACUUUGGUGUUGAAGGGCCGCGGUAUUUUGACCGUGCAAAGGUAGCAUAGUCAUUAGUUCUUUAAUUGUGAUCUGGUAUGAAUGGCUUGACGAGGCAUGGGCUGUCUUAAUUUUGAAUUGUUUAUUGAAUUUGGUCUUUGAGUUAAAAUUCUUAGAUGUUUUUAUGGGACGAGAAGACCCUAUAGAGUUUAACAUUUGUUAUGGUCCCCUUUUUGUUUGUGAGGGUUCAUUGGGCCGUUUAAUAUGUUUUGUUGGGGUGAUGGGAGGGAUUAAUUUAACCCCUCCUUUUAUUAUUAUAUUUAUUUAUAUUUACUUGAUCCAUUUAUUUUGAUUGUAAGAUUAAAUUACC